AUCAUCCAAAAGGCAGCAGACAUCGCACAAAGAGGAUCCGUACUAGGAUUAAUGUCAUUAUUGGGUUUCCAAAUUUAUCAAAUUACCAAGAAUGCAAAUGAAGGAUUGCGUGAUCAACAAAAUAAUGACAAU
rnacentral:ribozyme from 1 species